CCACCGACAGCCGGGAGAUCCGGCCGUCACGGCUGACUCCCGCGUUGUUGACCAGGACGUCGACGCCGCCGUACGUCUCGGCGGCGGUGGUC
rnacentral:tRNA from 1 species